UAGCUAAAUGCGGAAGAGAUAAGUGCUGAAAGCAUCUAAGCACGAAACUUGCCCCGAGAUGAGUUCUCCCUGAGACUUUAAGUCUCCUGAAGGAACGUUAAAGACGAUGACGUUGAUAGGCCGGGUGUGUAAGCGCAGCGAUGCGUUGAGCUAACCGGUACUAAUGAACCGUGAGGCUUAACCUUACAACGCCGAAG
rnacentral:rRNA from 4 species